rnacentral:rRNA from 1 species
GACGAACGCUGGCGGCGCGCCUAACACAUGCAAGUCGAACGAGAGAUGAGGAGCUUGCUCUUCAAAUCGAGUGGCGAACGGGUGAGUAACGCGUGAGGAACCUGCCUCAAAGAGGGGGACAACAGUUGGAAACGACUGCUAAUACCGCAUAAGCCCACGGCUCGGCAUCGAGCAGAGGGAAAAGGAGCAAUCCGCUUUGAGAUGGCCUCGCGUCCGAUUAGCUAGUUGGUGAGGUAACGGCCCACCAAGGCGACGAUCGGUAGCCGGACUGAGAGGUUGAACGGCCACAUUGGGACUGAGACACGGCCCAGACUCCUACGGGAGGCAGCAGUGGGGAAUAUUGCACAAUGGGGGAAACCCUGAUGCAGCGACGCCGCGUGGAGGAAGAAGGUCUUCGGAUUGUAAACUCCUGUUGUUGAGGAAGAUAAUGACGGUACUCAACAAGGAAGUGACGGCUAACUACGUGCCAGCAGCCGCGGUAAAACGUAGGUCACAAGCGUUGUCCGGAAUUACUGGGUGUAAAGGGAGCGCAGGCGGGAGAACAAGUUGGAAGUGAAAUCCAUGGGCUCAACCCAUGAACUGCUUUCAAAACUGUUUUUCUUGAGUAGUGCAGAGGUAGGCGGAAUUCCCGGUGUAGCGGUGGAAUGCGUAGAUAUCGGGAGGAACACCAGUGGCGAAGGCGGCCUACUGGGCACCAACUGACGCUGAGGCUCGAAAGUGUGGGUAGCAAACAGGAUUAGAUACCCUGGUAGUCCACACCGUAAACGAUGAUUACUAGGUGUUGGAGGAUUGACCCCUUCAGUGCCGCAGUUAACACAAUAAGUAAUCCCACCUGGGGAGUACGACCGCAAGGUUGAAACUCAAAGGAAUUGACGGGGGCCCGCACAAGCAGUGGAGUAUGUGGUUUAAUUCGACGCAACGCGAAGAACCUUACCAAGUCUUGACAUCCUGCGACGCACAUAGAAAUAUGUGUUUCCUUCGGGACGCAGAGACAGGUGGUGCAUGGUUGUCGUCAGCUCGUGUCGUGAGAUGUUGGGUUAAGUCCCGCAACGAGCGCAACCCUUAUGGUCAGUUACUACGCAAGAGGACUCUGGCCAGACUGCCGUUGACGAAACGGAGGAAGGUGGGGAUGACGUCAAAUCAUCAUGCCCUUUAUGACUUGGGCUACACACGUACUACAAUGGCGUUAAACAAAGAGAAGCAAGACCGCGAGGUGGAGCAAAACUCAGAAACAACGUCCCAGUUCGGACUGCAGGCUGCAACUCGCCUGCACGAAGUCGGAAUUGCUAGUAAUCGUGGAUCAGCAUGCCACGGUGAAUACGUUCCCGGGCCU